AAACCAACAGGGAUUACCUCAGUAACGGCGAGUGAAGCGGUAACAGCUCAAAUUUGAAAUCUGGGUCUUUCAGGCUCCGAGUUGUAAUUUGUAGAAGAUGCUUCGGGUGCGGCUCCGGUCUAAGUUCCUUGGAACAGGACGUCAUAGAGGGUGAGAAUCCCGUAUGUGAUCGGUUGCUUGCGCCCAUGUGAAGCUCUUUCGACGGGUCGAGUUGUUUGGGAAUGCAGCUCAAAAUGGGUGGUAAAUUUCAUCUAAAGCUAAAUAUUGGCCAGAGACCGAUAGCGCACAAGUAGAGUGAUCGAAAGAUGAAAAGCACUUUGGAAAGAGAGUUAAACAGUACGUGAAAUUGUUGAAAGGGAAGCGCUUGCAACCAGACUUGCGCGUUGCCGAUCAUCCGGGGUUCUCCCCGGUGCACUCGGCCUCGCUCAGGCCAGCAUCGGUUUUGGUGGUGGGAUAAAGGCCUUGGGAAUGUAGCUCCUUUCGGGGAGUGUUAUAGCCCUCGGUGCAAUGCCGCCUACCGGGACCGAGGACCGCGCUUCGGCUAGGAUGCUGGCGUAAUGGUUGUAAGCGAC
rnacentral:rRNA from 1 species